rnacentral:lncRNA from 1 species
CUGCUCAAUUUGUCCAGAAUCAUUAAAUAGCAAAUUUCUUUCUGAUAAUAAUGGCAGAAAUAUUUCAGUUCAAUUAGGUUGACAAUCAUAUUUGAGUUUCUGGUACCAAUAUACUACUCUCUGAUACGCAAUAUAAAUAAUAUCUGUAACCUAGUGUUCAUUAUCCAUGAAGUAUAAAUAAUCUUUUCAAAAUUGUUUGGAAAUGAACCAGUGGAUAUGCAUUCAGAAUUACUUUAGUUAAAACUCAAGACAUAUUAAAUGUACAUAGUACGUUCAUGUCCUUCUUUAUUUUGUCCUGUCCCCACUUUGGUUGUUGCCUGGCUGGUUCCCAAAGCAAUUCCGAAUUCCAGCAUGCAGAAUUUUAUGUGAAACUUACCUAAGACAAAGGAUGUUUUAUUUUUUCAAUGACCACUUUCUUUCAUGGCUUGGCACAUAAAAGAUGUAGACUUUCUCACUCUAUUUCUGAAUAAUGGAUUUUAAAACCAUAUUAGACAUCUCCAACAUAAUAUAAACUGAGGGAGUACAUGGUAGAGUAUCUUAGGAAUGUCCUGCCAGUAAACACAAGUAAUUAAUCAACCCACACAUUUUUUUUUGUUAGCCUAAUUUACUCCCAUGAGAUACAGCAGUAGUAAAAUUCAUUCAUCCAACAUUCUUUAAUACUUGCCAGAUAAGAAGGGCUACUUGCCCCCACUUCAGUGACAGGUUAAUAGUUCUAUUUUGGAAAUGUUUGUCUAAAUCCAAGAACUCAGGCUCAGUGCCAUUUAUUUAUUUGGGAGAUUGUUGGCAGGAAAGUACUAUACCCUUACCUGGCAGGAGUAGUGCGGGUGAGGAUUUUGCCUUCAUUUUCAUUUGUGCUUAAUUCAAUCUGAUAGAAAAUAGCUGCAGAGCACAAGUGAGAAGGAAUAUAUACAGAAUUUUCAAGGAAGAAAAAUAAAAUUGGUGUUAAAAUUAACUUCACUUCAACAUCUAAAGUGAAGUCUCAUUAUCCUGUGUACCUCAAGGACAUAUUCUCCAAACUUCUCAGCUAUUUCUGAGGGGCUCUCCACUUAUAUUUCAACUUCCUUCUUUGUAGCCCCAGAUAUAGGCUUACACCUCCUGGCUUGACUGCUUCUCUGAUGCUAUGAACUCUACAUUCAAGUUUCAAGCCAAUAGAGCUCCAAACAUACAAUUUCUCUGUAUCACAUUCACAAUGUUCUCUAGGCUUAAAGGGAGAAGAGUGACCUCCACCCCUCCUGCACUGGAGUAUAUUUCUCUCUCUUAAGACAACCCUCAAUCUACCUCCUAUUUAGUGAUGUUUCCACAUUUACUGUGCAUUUCAGGUAACAGCAGCCACAGGUGGUUACAUCUAUCCUUGCUUUGUACUGUCUAGCUCAACUACCACCACACCUAACUGUACCAUGCCAUUCUACUCCAGUGGCCAGAUGCCAGAUGGGCACUAAGGUGUCUGGCACCAUCCACAGACUGACCAGUAUAUGCCAUAGCCUAGUGCAAGUGCAAGAGGCCAACUCAAUCAGUCUGCCUUUGAAUGCUAGAUCUGGACACCAGAAAAUCUGGACACCAAAAAUCAAGAUGUCCACAUAAGUCAUACUUUCAGGCUGCCCUGAUUAUUUCUCAAGUACCUCAUAGCUAAAAUGUAAAAGGCCUAGCUAUUUUUAAAAAAAUUUUAAAUAGCUCUGAACCCGAGAAUGCUUUAAGUUCACAGUAAUAUAGAUGAAAGCUAAAAUGUCAAAGGUACAGCUAUAAUAACUUAAAAGACAAGUACCUUUGUGAAUCAGAAAUAAUCUAGAAAGAGUUUUAGAAAAUAUAUAAAUCUAUGGUCAUUCUUGGAUCUGGCUGGAGAAGCAGGCAGAACCAGCUAAAUGAUAACAUUGACUUUUUGAUAUGCCAUUCUGCAUACCGGUCUCACAUUCAGGCUGGUAACAGGACGGGUGCAGUUGUUCCUGCCAUCGCAUCUCAUAUUCACAUAGGACCGUAUUAAGAAUAUAAAAAAACUAGAGGAGCACCUAGGUCUCCUUCGUAAGAAAAUCUUUCUGGAAUGCCUCCACGUAGACUUCCCUAUAUAUCCUAUUGGCCAGAAUUUUGUUCUAUAUCCAUUCUUUACCUGAUCACUGGGAAGGCAGAAGGAAUUGCCAUAACUGGAAGAAAAAAACAACCUGUGGAAUAGAAUGUUUGGGAAGAAUCCAGCAAAAAUGCCCACCAUGAUACAUCUUUUGCUCAUACAUUAUGUUAAAAAUGCUGAUGUCAAAAUUAAACACACUCAGUCCUUCUUCAAAUAGAAACAACUCAAAGUUUCAUCCUUGGUCAAAUUCAGUAUUUUGCAUGAUGUGUAAUCCUCAUCACAUCUCUGCUCAGUUUUUCAUGUUCUAUAUCAGAGGUCAGCAAAAUAUGGCCCUAUAGCCAAAUCUGGCCUGCUGCCUGUUUUUGUGUGGCCCACAAACUAAUGUGUGUGUGUGUAUGUGUGUUUACAAUUGUUAAUGUUUACAUUUAAAACAAGAAUAAAUCAUAUUCUUUGUUUUUCCUUUUGUCCUGGAAAUUCUAAAAUAUUUACCAUAUGGUCCUUUGCAGAAAAUGUUUGCCAACUCCUGUUCAAUGGGACUUUGAAUGAAAAGACAAGUUUUCCACCCCAAUAUAACCAAUAUACAAUGAUACAUCAUUUUAAAAAUGUAAUUCUAAAAAGGGAUUGUUGGGUGACACUCUUACAUGAAUUUUGUCCUAAUAUUGGUCUUUGUGAGGGUGGUGGCCAAUGCUCCUUGGAAUGUCCUGCCUAUUCUUUUUUCCUAAUGUGGCCUUACGUAAACUGAGGUCAUGGAAGCAUGAAAUCCAAAAUUUUCUAACAAGGCUUCCAAGGGUGGAUCUUAUUUGUUUCAGUAGAACAAAACUUGCUAUUCUAAUGGUCUCUCCACUUUUCCUUCUGCCUCUGAGCAAGAUGAAGAAAAAAAGAUGAAGCUGUUUUCCAGAGACCAGCACUUCAUCCCUGAGAAAAUGUCAAGAUUAUAGGCAUGCUCUAUAGAAGAUAAUGAGUUAAUACCGAAUGGCUAAAUCAGGGGAGUAUUUGAUUGGGGUUCCCAGAAACCAACAAGAUGUGGAUUCAUAUUCAAAUGCUUCCAGGAGAAUCAAGUAAGGAAGUUAAGAAAGAGAAAGAAAGGAAACAAAGGCUUCUCUGAAGACAUGUCAUUUUACCCAAGACCUGAAAGAUG